GACUAACGCUGGCGGCGUGCCUAACACAUGCAAGUCGAACGAGUUGUUUAUAGUAGCAAUAUUGUGAACAGCAAGUGGCGAACGGGUGAGUAACACGUAGAUAAUCUGCCUUUCAGACGGGGACAACUCAGGGAAACUUGUGCUAAUACCCGAUGAGACUACGGGAGGGGACUUUCGUAGCCAAAGGUGGGGGCAACCUCACGCUGAAAGAUGAGUCUGCGUCCUAUCAGCUGGUUGGUGGGGUAAAAGCCUACCAAGGCGAAGACGGGUAGCCGGCCUGAGAGGGUGAACGGCCACACUGGGACUGAGACACGGCCCAGACUCCUACGGGAGGCAGCAGUGAGGAAUUUUCCGCAAUGGGCGCAAGCCUGACGGAGCGACGCCGCGUGAGGGAUGACGGCCUUCGGGUUGUAAACCUCUUUUAUUAGGGAAAAAGGCAUAUGUGCUAAUACCACGUAUGUUUGAUGGUACCUGUUGAAUAAGCCCCGGCUAACUACGUGCCAGCAGCCGCGGUAAUACGUAGGGGGCGAGCGUUGUCCGGAGUUACUGGGCGUAAAGAGCGUGUAGGCGGUUGGAAAAGUCAGGUGUGAAAUUCUUCGGCUCAACCGGGGGACUGCGCCUGAAACUUUCCGACUGGAGUUCGGGAGGGGCAACCGGAAUUCCUGGUGUAACGGUGAAAUGUGUAGAUAUCACGAGGAACACCCGUGGCGAAUGCGGGUUGCUGGACCGAAACUGACGCUGAGACGCGAAAGCGUGGGUAGCAAACA
rnacentral:rRNA from 1 species